GGUGGCUCAGAGGUAGAGCCUUUGUCUUGCAUGCAUGAGGCCCUGGGUUCGAUUCCCCAGCACCA
rnacentral:tRNA from 1 species